rnacentral:rRNA from 1 species
CGAGUGGCGGACGGGUGAGUAAUGUCUGGGAAACUGCCUGAUGGAGGGGGAUAACUACUGGAAACGGUAGCUAAUACCGCAUAACGUCGCAAGACCAAAGAGGGGGACCUUCGGGCCCCUUGCCAUCGGAUGUGCCCAGAUGGGAUUAGCUAGUAGGUGGGGUAACGGCUCACCUAGGCGACGAUCCCUAGCUGGUCUGAGAGGAUGACCAGCCACACUGGAACUGAGACACGGUCCAGACUCCUACGGGAGGCAGCAUG